rnacentral:rRNA from 1 species
UGGAAGUAAAAAGUCGUAACAAGGUUUCCGUAGGUGAACCUGCGGAAGGAUCAUUGUCGAAUCCUGCACAGCAGUACCACUCGCGAACACGUUCACAAAACGAGGGCCGAUCCGGGUGCGGGGGAUUCCCCCUGCAUCCGAUUCGGAUCCUUCCGGUGCUCGGGCAACUUGUCCUUGUGCCUAACAAACCCCCGGCGCGAGAAGCGCCAAGGAAUACUCUAACAAGGGCUGGAUCCGUCCCCUCCCGUUCGCGGGGCCAGGGGGACCGGGGAAGGCUUCUUUCUAAACUGAAACGACUCUCGGCAACGGAUAUCUCGGCUCUCGCAUCGAUGAAGAACGUAGCGAAAUGCGAUACUUGGUGUGAAUUGCAGAAUCCCGUGAACCAUCGAGUCUUUGAACGCAAGUUGCGCCUGAAGCCAUUAGGCUAAGGGCACGUCUGCCUGGGCGUCACGCAUCGCGUCAGCCCUCCCCCAAUUCUGGUGUGGACGGGGUGGAAUGUGACCUCCUGUGCCUACCGGCGCAGCUGGUCGAAAUCUGAGUCCGGAGCUUAGGACGUCACGGCAAGUGGUGGUUGGAUGACAACUCUCGUGCUGUCGUGUGCCCAAACUCUCGUGACUGGAAAGACCCUGAGGCGCUCGUCAUCCUCCCCUCUGGGGUUGGGUGCUUGUGCUACGACCGCGACCCCAGGUCAGGCGGGAUUACCCGCUGAAUUUAAGCAUAUCAU